CUGGAGACCGUUUUCAAAAGGCUUCACAACAGCUCAGUGUGGACAGAGGGCCAGAACGGAGAGAAAAGGUCGUCCUUCUUUUGACGUCCUUGUGUCCUUGACCAGUAAAGAAGGAGAUGCUCAGCAGCUGGGUUUUUGCCCGCAGACAUGUUAAUCUCCCACCUAUGAGAGGCGAGGCGCCUACCCAGCUCCUGGAAACAGUGGCAGAACACACAAAGAAAAGGGAAAAGAACUGAGGCCGUGCUGAAAAUCUCUUCAUGGGACGGAGAUAGAGUUUCAAUGUCAAACCCCUUCCAAACAACACCAACACCUCCCGUGGGUUUCAGAGGAAGCAGAGAAGCUCUCCUGCUGAUUUACUGCAUGGAUUCGGAUGUGGAAAAUGAAGGGCAUUUUAAAAUUAAACCCAUUACAUCAGA